GGGCCCGUAGUUCAGUUGGGAGAACGCUACAUUCGCAUUGUAGAGCUCAGCGGUUCGAACCCGCUCGGGUCCA
rnacentral:tRNA from 1 species